rnacentral:lncRNA from 1 species
GAGCGUAGCUUCCUUGUCGUGUGGCCUCAGUCCUUCGCCGUCCCUCGCCGUCCUUCGCCAUCGCACGCCACCGCACCCCAUCUCUCGAAAUCUGCAGACAUCUUGAUUUUUCCCACGCUGUCUGUCAGGUCUCCGCCGCCACUCGACGCCAGGGCGCCGGGUGAGUCCACAGCAGGGCGCAUGGUCGGCUCCACUCUCACCAUCGGGGGAAACUGAGGCCCCGGGGAAGGCGGCCAGAGAGGUCAGGCCCUGUCCUUGGUGCAGUGUCUCGUCCUCUUUGCCGGAGUGAGCCCCCCAGGAUUCGCGUGUCCUCGGGAAAGACACUGGCAGGAGUGUCACAUGACUGCCGCCCCAUGUGUGUGAGAGGCGUCCUCUGGGAGAGCAUGGAUCCUGAGGUCCCAGGAUUGUCAGCUGACCUCUGUCCUGUGUGCCCAGUGGCCCCAGGUGACGUGUCUUCAAGAAGAGGCUGAGCUGCGGUGCUUGUAAGAGUCAUGUGCUGUUCCUGGGGCUUGGAUGAUGUAGGGGAAGCAAGGUGAAAGUGGUAUCCCGUGGUUCCACGUUCUGUCCUGCUGUGGGGCUGUCCCUCACAUGCUUUCAGUGGCUGUUGCAGAGGAAGAGCCUCCGGAAAUCUGCGUGGGUAAAGUCUCAGCCUUAGAUCCAAGGACAGUCCAAGGAAGUCCUAAGACCAUGGAGUUGGUGAUCUGGGAUCUGGGUUUGCUGAUAUUUCUCACCGUGAAUCUCUUGGUGGUGUUUGUGGGCACGAGAGGGGCAGAGAAUGGAGAGUGAGGCUACCACAUGAAGCGUCACCAGAGCUGCUCCCUGCUGCCUGCUCAGAGCACCCCGGAUCCACUGUUCAAUCUGCACAAGAUUCGGGGUCCAGACAUGGGAGACUUCAGCUGCCUCAGAGGACCGUGGACAGGGAAGGCCAGCCUCGCAUCCCUCUGUCCAUGCCUGGAAUGACUUUAAUAACCAAGAGUUUUAUUUUUGAAUUUGUAGCUGUCGUUCACUUUUUACCCACCCAUUCAAUAAACCUUACAGAAUUGC